rnacentral:lncRNA from 1 species
UAUCCAUCUCUAUCAAUGCAAGGAUUCUCCCUCAAACUCGAGACGGUAGUGGGGGCAGGACAGUACCCAUAGGUACAAGUCUGUUUGCCAAGCCUAGGUGGUAGUAAAUGAGAACCCAAGUAAGUUUAUGUGAGUUGGUGACUAAAGGCUUGAGGGAAAGGGGAUCCAUUAGUCUCCUUUCUUUUUAAUAUUGUGGCAAAAAUAUGUGGUAUGAUUAGAGAAACAAUUGACAAAGGUCUAUUUCAUAAGUUCAAGGUGGGAAAGAUGAAGUGCUAAUAAAUCUUCUCCAAUAUGCAGAUGAGACAAUGUUUUUGCAAGAAUUUAUUGUAUUCUUGAAAAAUAUUUCAAAAGAUAAAGUCCUACAUUGUUUAGAAUAAUUUUCUCUCAAGUAUUUAUAUAUUAACUUAGGAUAUAAAUUUUUGAAGUGACUAGAAAGAUAUGGAAGUCUCUUAUGCAUAAGCUUAGCCCAAUGGGCUUAUAAAAAUUCAUCUCUUUGGUGGAGAGAUUUACACAAGGUAUAUGUGGAGGCAAGAACCAAAAUAAAUUGGUUUAAUAGCUAGGUGGAGUGGAAAAUUGGUGGUGGCAAAAAAAUCAAAAUUUUUGGUCAAGAGCCUCUUGCAAAUACAUACAUAUCCUAGGCUUUUAUUAUAUUCUACACAAAAAAGAAGAGACUGUUGGAAGUAUGGGGGCUUGGAUAGGUGAAAUUUGCUAUGGCGCCGUGAUCGGUUUGAGUGGGAGGAAAUUAUGGUAAAUUUGCUAGGAUUGCUACAAAAUGUUAAUAUUAAAAAGGAUGUGAGUGAUGAGUGGUUUUGGAGGGAGGGAAGUCUGAACUGUACACAGUUAAAUCGGCAUACACUACAGUGUGUGAAAAUUUGAUGGGAAGCCAGCAUAUGGAAAGUUUUUAUAACAUGGAAAAUACAAGUUCCACCGAGAAUUAAUACCUUUUUGUUGAGAGUUAUGAGUAACAAAUUGCCAACAAAGGAUACCUUAUUAAAGAGGAAUAUUUGCUUACCUAACUCUAUAAGUGCAUCUUUUGUAAGAAGGAAGACAAGACUAUGGGGGCAUGUCUUGUUUUGCUGCCAAAAAAGUGGUGGAUAUUUGGAAGAAUUUAUAUGCAUUUCUUGAAGCAUCAUCUCAGCAGUGAGUCGCCAGCCACUAAAAAGACUAGCUGAUUCAUUUAUGGUGCGCUAAAGUCUGGGUCCUUUGGAAACACAGGAACCAGAGUGUGUUUAAUGGGACAGAUUUUAAUAAAGACAACAUUUUGCACGAUAUUUUGUUCAAUGUGUGGUCUUAGCUAAAGGAGUUUGACAAAAAAAAUUUGGUUACGACUUUGUUAAAUAAAUGGUUAGCCUCACUGCUGGUAUUUUUGGUUGAUUGAAAGAUGCUAAACUAGGGGUCUUUUAGUGAGGGGGUAUGGCUAGACGAGCUGCAUUUGAAGGCUAAAAUGGUGGAGCAAAACAAAUUUAUGGCAGAUGGUAACAACAACAUUCUUUGGGGUCAUGCUGAAUUUCAAAGAUAUAGCAUUACAUUUUUAUGGGAGCUUAGUCGACCGGGAUAAAUCAGCGUAGUACCAAAUAAAACCCCAGAGUUUGUUAGAGCUAGCACAACGAUUUUCACUUGAUUUGCUCAAGAGGCAUUUUAUA